rnacentral:lncRNA from 1 species
AAUUUAUGUCAAGUAUAGUUCAAAGAUAUUACCAAUGCAAAAUAUUCUGUUUAUAUAUUAAUCACGGUCUUUCAUGUGUAUAUAAUAUAAUAUAUAAAUUGUUUGUCUAAAGAUAUAUAUAUAUAUAAUAAUACUUUCACUGUUUACAGUACCUUAGAUCAAGGAUGUCAAACUCGCAGCCCACAACGAAUAUAUUUGCAGCCCAGCCAACAAACAUACACAAUAAUAAUAAUGACCAUGUUUUGCACAACGUUCGCAUGUAUGUAGUGAAACUACUCGCAGGUGCACCAUUCUCCCUCCCCAUUAAUAUUAGCAGCACAGAUUAUGAGAUACAGAUGGGAAACUUUCUAUAUCUACAACUGAUGG